GACGAACGCUGGCGGCGUGCUUAACACAUGCAAGUCGAACGGUAAGGCCCUGCUCUUGUGGGGUGCUCGAGUGGCGAACGGGUGAGUAUCACGUGAGUAACCUGCCCUUGACUUUGGGAUAACUUCAGGAAACUGGGGCUAAUACCGGAUAGGACCUCCUGCUGCAUGGUGGGGGUGGGAAAGUUUCGGCGGUUGGGGAUGGACUCGCGGCCUAUCAUCUUGUUGGUGGGGUAGUGGCUUACAAAGGCUUUGAGGGGUAGCCGGCCUGAGAGGGUGACCGGCCACAUUGGGACUGGGAUACGGCCCAGACUCCUACGGGAGGCAGAAGUGGAAGAUAGUGCACGAUGGGCGGAGGCAUGAUGCAGGAACGCCGCGUGCGAGAUGACGGCCUUCGGGUUGUAAACCGCUUGCGCCUGUAACGAAGCGUGAGUGACGGUAAUUGGUAAAGAAGCACCGGCUAACUACGUG
rnacentral:rRNA from 1 species